GGGGAAUCUUGCGCAAUGGACGAAAGUCUGACGCAGCAACGCCGCGUGAGUGAAGAAGGCCUGCGGGUCGUAAAGCUCUGUCAAUCGGGACGAACAACCUCUUGGUUAAUAGCCUUGGGGUCUGACGGUACCGAUGAAGGAAGCACCGGCUAACUUCGUGCCAGCAGCCGCGGUAAUACGAAGGGUGCAAGCGUUGCUCGGAAUCAUUGGGCGUAAAGCGGAAGUAGGUGGUUUGUAAAGUCUGAGGUGAAAUCCCCGAGCUUAACUCGGGACGUGCCUUAGAUACUGCCAAACUAGAGUACUGGAGAGGGUAGCAGAAUUCCCGGUGUAGCAGUGAAAUGCGUAGAGAUCGGGAGGAAUACCAGAGGCGAAGGCGGCUACCUGGACAGUAACUGACACUCAAUGCCGAAAGCGUGGGGAGCAAAC
rnacentral:rRNA from 1 species